UCCGUUGUGGUCUAGUGGUUAGGAUUUACGGCUCUCUCCCGUAAGGACGGGGUUCGAUUCUUGGGAACGGAA
rfam:Dictyocaulus viviparus strain HannoverDv2000 D_viviparus-1.0_Cont8.58, whole genome shotgun sequence.